ACCCUGAUCCCCAGGCAGGUUCAGAUCUCCAGUUCGUUUGCUAUGCUUGAAACACGGCAGACGUUUCCUCCUGACACGGUCCGGGACUCUAGGGUCAGCUAUGUCAUUGUGUGCUGGAUAUCUGUUCCCAGUUGCGGAACCUCCGCGCGGACCGUGUCUCUCUGACCGCUGUGUUCCCCGGGCCACCUCGCGCCAGGCGCGCAGCAGGUGCACGGGGAAGUGAGGGGCGCGUAGCAAACGAACGUUUGGCGGGCGCGCAGAGUGCGCAGGCCGUGCGGUGGGGGGAGGGCCCGCGCCCUCCUCGGGACCCCGCGGCUUCUCCGCGCCCUGCGCGGCGCCGGAAGCGGCCGGCCGGCCCCCUCCCCGCGGCGCCCGCCGCCUUAUCUCGGCGCCUCGGGGCCGCGGGAGGAGUCGCGGGCGCGCCAGGAGGGACGCGGCGGCGGCGGCGGCGGCAUGGGCCGGGGGCCCCGGGGCGCGGGCCGCCCGCCUCGCCGCCUGCUGCCGCUCCUGCUGCUGCUCGGUCUGGCCCGUGGCGCGAGCGGAGCGCGGGGCGCCGACGGUUUAGAUGUCUGUGCCACUUGCCACAAACAUGCUACCUGCAAGCAAACAGAAGGGAUGAAGAUGUGUAUUUGCAAGUACGGAUUUGUGGGCAAUGGGAGGACUCACUGCGUUGAUAAAAAUGAGUGCCAGUUUGGAGCCACUGUGGUCUGUGGAAACCACACAUCUUGCCACAACACGCUCGGAGGCUUUUAUUGCAUUUGCCUAGAAGGAUAUCGAGCCACGAAUAACAACAAAACAUUCAUUCCCAAUGAUGGCACCUUUUGCACAGACAUAGAUGAGUGUGAGGUUUCCGGCCUGUGCAGACAAGGAGGACGGUGUGUGAACACUUACGGAAGUUUCGAAUGCUACUGUAUGGAUGGGUACUUGGCAAAGAAUGGGCCUGAGCCUUUCCACCCGACCAGAGAUGCCACGUCAUGCACAGAAAUAGACUGUGGCACCCCUCCUGAGGUCCCAGAUGGCUAUAUCGUAGGAAAUUAUACUUCUAGGCUUGGCAGCCAGGUUCGUUAUGCUUGCAAAGAAGGAUUUUUCAGUGGCCUGGAAGAUACAGUUUCAAGCUGCACAGCCUUGGGCACGUGGGAGUCCCCAAAAUUAAAUUGCCAAGAGAUCAACUGUGGCCGUCCUCCGGAAGUGCAGCAUGCGGUCCUGGUGGGGAAUCACAGCUCCAGGCUGGGCAGUGUGGCUCAUUACGUCUGUCAAGAGGGCUUUGAAAGCCCUGGAGGAAAGAUCAUUUCCAUUUGCACAGAGAAAGGCACUUGGAGAGAAAGUCCUUUGACAUGCACAGAAAUAAUUGCAGAAGUUAAUGAUGUAUCAGUGUUUAAUAACAGCUGUGUGAGGUGGCAAAUAAACCCAGGAAGAACAGUCUCCAAGAUUAUCUAUGUGAUACACAUAAAAGGACAACGGUUGCACCCUGUGGAAUCAGUUCAUGAGGAGACCGUCAACUUGACCACAGACAGCAGGACCCCCGAAGUGUGCCUAGAUCUGUACCCAGGCACCAACUACACCGUGAGCAUCUUCACCGCCCUGCCCACACGCUCCGUGCCCACCAUCAUUGGGUUCCAGACAGCUGAAGAUGAUCUCUCAGAAGAUGAUGCAACUUUGAAUAUUUCAAUAUUCAGCGAAGCUUGUUUGAAACUGAGCAGGGGCCCUAGGAAAGCUGGAUCAGAACAAACGUACCAAUUUAAAGUUCUGGGUCAGAGGUGGUAUCUGAAUAAUUUUUAUCAUGCCACAUCAUUUAACUUCACAACGAAGGAACAAGCUCCAGUAGUGUGUUUAGACCUGUACCCAGCAGCGGAUUACACAGUGAAUAUCACUCUACUGGGAUCUUCUGGGCAGCACUCAGUGCAAAUAACAAUGACAACUGCACCAGCAGUAAAACAGAUCAUCAGUAACAUUUCAAUAUUUAAUGAAACCUGCUUGAGAUGGAGAAGUACAAAAACAGCUGAUACAGAGGAGAUGUAUUCAUUCCACAUUCAGGGCCAGAGAUGGUAUCAGAAGGAAUUUUCCCAGGAAAUAAUCUUUAAUAUCACUACCAGCAGUCAGGCUCCCGAGAUGUGCUUGGACCUGCAUCCGGGCACCAACUACAGUGUCCACGUCCAGGCUUUGUCUUCUGAAUUUCCUGUGGUCCUCUCCCUGACAACCCAGAUAACAGAGCCUCCCCUUCCAGAAGUAGACUUUGUCACAGUGCAUGGAAAGCCUCUGCCACGUCUGAGACUGAGGAAAGCCAAGGAGAAAAAUGGACCGAUCAGUUCCUACCAGGUGUUGGUGCUUCCCCUGGCCCUCCAAAGCACUUUUUUUUGUGAUUCUGAAGGGGCUACCUCAUUCUUUAGCAACACCUCUGAUGCCAGUGGAUAUGUGGCUGCGGAACUACUGGCCAAAGAUGUCCCAGAUGAUGCCAUGGAGAUAUCUAUUGGGGACAGGCUCUACUAUGGGAAAUACUAUAAUGCACCUUUGAGAAAAGGGAAUGAUUACUGCAUUAUAUUACGAAUCACAAGUGAAUGGAAUAAGGUGAGAAGAUGCUCCUGUGCAGUUUGGGCUCACGUGAAAGAUUCGUCAUUCAUGCUGCAGCAGAUGGUGGGCGUUGGGCUGGGCUCCGUGGCUGUUGUGAUUAUUCUCGCAUUCCUGUCCUUCUCAGCCGUGUGAUUGCGGACGGGCACUACCUGUGGAGGAUGCACGGUGCUGGGGCAGAUGUUAUGGCUGUUUCUCAGGUGCCUGCCUAGACAGAGGCCCCAUGUGGCUUCCACCCAGAAACAUGAUUUUUGAGGACCUCCCAACAAAGAAAGUUCAGGGAAUGUCAAAUUGAAACUUGAAUCCACACAGAACUGUCAUAUGACAUCUGGACAGAUUUGAGUUGAUAAUUUUUUCAGUCAACUCCCAGAAAAAAUGGUCCCUAAAGCAUCUGCUGCAUCCGGGCCUCCAGGGUCUAUUAGCUUGAUGUCAUCAAUAUAAUGGGCCAGCAUCAUGUCCUAUGGAACAAGGAGAUAGUCAAGCACGGACUAAAUUGUGGCACAGAGGCAGAGUUGAUGUAAUCCCAAGGCAAGACAGCCAAGGUGGACAGCUAUGCUUGCCAGUUCUCCAGGUGGUUAUAACGUGCAACCAACGCAACCAACGCAGAUAAGCCGAACGUCAAGCCAUAAGCCUGACUUUGUAGCCCAGGUAAAAAGGAAGAUUUCAAAUUAACACUUGACAGAAUUCUUUUAGUAAUUCUGAUAUGAAUGGUGGAAUAUGUUGUUUAUAAAAAUACAAGACAGCAAACAAGAAUACAUUAUUGUUAAUGUUUUGAUUGUAUUCAAAUUUUUAUUUUAAACAAAACUUCAUACAAUGAUUUUAAAUAAAACGUGGUAUAUUCUAGACAUUUUUUUUAACGGUUUAUUAAAUUUGGACUCCUACAGUUCUGUUGUGGUGCUUUCUUCAACAUUUAUAUUAUUUCUUACCAUUUUACCAUCACUCCUAAACUUGCUAAACAAAGAAUCACUCUGUCCUGCUUAAGUGAAGCUUCACUUCAAGGAAAUACUCCACGACCACAUAAAACACACACACAGAACAGUCAUUGUUUCUAUUUACAAAACACAAGAAGUCUGUCUAGCCAUUUGGAUGUGUUGUUACAUUGCCCAUACUGAGAUCAGCAAAAAGCCAAGUAAUAAGCAAGAUUUCACUUCAGCAGUGCAAAGGAUGGCAUCAACCAAACUUCAUUAAACAAACCGACAAAUUACAAACAUAUUCAGCAAAAUUCAACUUGUGUAAUAGAGAUUUAAAAAAAAAACAGAGUGGGUCACAACUAGACUGGUUUUCACUGUGCAACUUUCCUCAGGGAACACUACUACCCAUUUCACAUAGAAAGGAAUAUGCAUCAAAGCCUUUGUUCAUGAAGAAAAUGCCCUUCAAACAAAUUCGUCAUAAGGCGCCAAAAAAAAAAAAAAAUUUUUUUUUUAAAUGAAGCAGUUUGGCCCAGAGAAAAGCUUAUACAUAAUGUAUAUACAUUGUGUAUACACAUUGAUAUAUUACAAUUUAAACCAUGUAUAUUAGUCAUUAGACAAUUAAAUGAGUUGGCUCAGUGAGGUGAAAACGUGUUCAUUUUCUUUAAAUAUGUAAUUAUUGCUGAUAUGCUACACACUAUGCUUUGACAUGGAAACUGUAGUAACAGAAUUUAAAGCUGCCAUAUUGCCAGCAUCAGCCCUGCAGCAGGCAUUCAUAUGGACAACAUGCCAUCUAAUCCCGAAGAAAAAGCAAAAAUUCCACUACCAAAGGUUAAAAAAAAAAAAAAAAAAGGCUUAUGCACUAUCCCUUACAUUUUUGCCUAUUUUUUUUUAAACAAAAACAAGUCCAGUUCACCACAAGUUAAGCACAACCUGACAAGCAAGUUCAGCGGCAUGAUGGGGAGAGAAGAGUGACAUACAGCAUGCAUUUACAACUAGCACUGAUCUAUUCUGUCAUACAAACUGGAAUACAAAAAUCCAAUUUAAAUAAGACUAGACUAACCGUAAGAGUAAAAAAAAAAAAAAAACACACACACACAGUAGACUUAGUUUGAUACUAAUUUUAAGAGUAAAACUCAUCCUGUCCCCACUUAAUACUCUACUGCAUUUGAUGGCUAGAAUAUUUACUUAAAAAAGAUAUUAAAUACCUGUAUCAUGAAAUUACAUUCUUUUUAACAAGACAUACUGUGUAAGAAAAUAGCUCAUGUGUGAAAUGUGUCUGAAAUGCAUUUUUCCUCACAACUAUCAAAACAUCCACUCACACUAAAACAAACCCCCCCCUCCACCCCGAAAAAAAAAGUUAAGGAAAGAAGGGACUUGGGCAGGUGAGGAGCAGGGAAGGAAAGGUCUACCAGCACAGUGAUUAACAAUGGUUCAAGACAGAACCAACAAGAGUUGGUCAAAAGGAUGCCUUCAAUACAUGGCUACAAUUAAAAACCAAACUCAACCACUUUUGGUUCAUUGCAGUGAGACCAAAAAAAAAAAAAAAAAAAAAAAUCUCUCACAGAUUCAUAUAAAUACUAGACUCCAGCUCUUUUAUUAUUUUUAAAGUUUUUCCAUUUGUUUUUGCAAGGCCUAGCUACCUUAUUACAAUUUAUAUUUGCUCUGCAACAACUACAAGAGGUAGGCAUAGAGCAUGAAAAAGUUUCUUAGUUAGUACCUCACCGUGGACUGUUCACCACGUGACACCAUUCACUUUAGAUCCGUAAAGUGAUUACUUUCUAGUCUUUUCUAACCCCAAAACAAAGCUGCUGCCAUCCCAUAAAUGUUCUAAAAGAGUGUACUCACAAGUAAGAAACUUUCUCUACUGAAGGAUACUGUCAUAGUGUUUGCUGCAGAGCAUUCAUAUAUUUUAUAUAUAUAUAUAUAUAUUUAUUU